UCCCAGUCCUCUUUCACAGGAGCUGCAGUUCAAUGGUAGUACAGCAUAAGAUCACUUCAGCAUCAAUUUGAUGUCAGAACAAAACCAAGGUCCAUUGUGAUUUGUAACAACUUUACAA